AGAGAGAGUUGAGCUGGAAUGUUAUCAAUAGCAAACGAACUCCGUUGUCACCUGUUUGUUUUCAAUAAUGGAACUUCUAAAUCGAUGAUCGACAACGUUGAACAUGAUCUAUACCACUUGAAGUAUGUAAAAAUCAAAUUUUAAAUCUUUUCGACAUCAUUGGCCUAAUGAUUAAAGGGUUUCAAAAUUUAUAAUUUUAAUAGUCGAUAUAAGACGUUUUCUCGUUUAAUGGCGUAAAGAUAUCCAAAUUAAUUGAAUUUUGAUUAAAAAAUUCUUUGAACUAUUUAGAACAAGAUCUAUACUCUCGAUCUUGAUUACAAGGCUUGUAUUAUCACUUUUUAAAUGAUAUUCAUUUUUAGCCAUUCAUUUUUGUGUCCACUUGAUGGAUAAGAGAACAAUAUCGAAAAAAUAUAAAAUUUUAAUUCUAGAUGUUUCAAAUGGUAUAGAUCGUGUUCAACAGUGUCGAUAUGGAGGCUCCAUCAUUGAAAAUAAAUAGAUGGCAAUGGAGCUCAUUUGCUACUGAUAGCAUUCCAGAUCAGCUCUCUCUCUCUCUCUCUCUCUCUCUAUAUAUAUAUAUAUAUAUAUAUAUAUUAUAAUUAUUAUUA
rnacentral:lncRNA from 1 species